CCCUGCCCGACCCCCUCUGCGUCCGCUCACUGCUCACCUGCAUCCAUGGCGGCCUGCCGAGCUGCCCUCCCCGCCCAGGCUCAAAAUGGCGGCGGGAGCACCCGCUGUCGGUAGGCGGAAGCCCGGCGGGAGGUGCGGCGAGGCAAGCUGGGAAGGCGGUGGCGGAGGCGGGCCGUGCGGCCCAGGCUAUGGGAGCGUGAGGUAGGAGGGUUCGCGGUAGGAGCCACGUCGGCUGCGGGACACGGGCCUGGCACCUACCUGGCACUGCUGUAGCUCUUCUGGGAGGCAGAGACAUGGCAUUAAGACCUCUUUUGUUUUUUUUUUUUUUUUUUUUCCCGUCGAUCUUUGCACUUAUGUUUUCAUCAUUGUGCCAUGAGCAAGCCAUCAGUACUGAAGAUCUCCCAGGAGGGCCUCAUAUUCCAUAUCUGAGCUGUUCAUGCUCUAACAUCACUGAUUUACUGAUGUGCAUUUUGUAGAAGACCAACCUCUUGACUAAAGUUGGAGUAACUUUUUUUCCCUUGUCUUGAAAGGGAGCUGUUACCAGUUAGGCAAUACAGUUCCAAAUCCAUUAGAAGGUACUUUUGGGAUCAGUGUUCUCGUUUAGUUUUUUUCAUAGGCAUGCACCCUUGAGCAGUGAAGGGUAAAAGAUGACUGUAUGCCCGGAACAUUCAUUUUAACUUUGUACUGGAUGAGCCGUUGUUGAACAUUUCCAAAGCAGAAGGAGACAGAAGGGAGGGAAUCGCUCCUAACAGACAGACCUGUUUUGCUGGUUGUUUUUUGUUUGUUUGUUGUUGUUGUUCCUUUGUUUUUCUUACUCCUUCUGCAUGUUGGACUUUUUUUUUUUUUCCCAUAGCAACCUAUGGUGAGCUGAUUUCAGUCAACCUCUGCAGUUUAUUUAUUAAAAAGUUAUAUCAUAGUGAAGCCAGUUAAACAAACACUCCAGGAAUGCAGAACAGGACUGCACUGUUGCAUCUGGAAGAGAGUCCAGCACUCGGGUUGCAAAUUUAUCCCUAAUGCUGCAUUUAUGCCUGGGGUCACACAUUUGGUUUUUAUAUCUCAGUUAAAACAAAGACUGGUAGGGUUUAGCACUGUCAAGCUGGCUGACUCAUUGCUGCUGUGAUUGCAUUAUUAGGCACUUGUGUAACUGCGCACCAUACAGACUGAACAUGAAUCCUGACUAAUUCUGUUUUUAAAUUUGUGAUUUGCACUUUUCAUUUGUUAAAUUGUUUUCAGCGUGUUAGCAUUUUUCUGUAAUGCUAUCUAUGUAGUGUAGUUAUUCCCCACUAGCCCUGCUAGAAAUUAGGUUGUAAGGCCACCAAAGAAAGACUUCUGUGUUGCUUUCCAUAAUAAAAUAAGACUUUUUUUUUUUUUUUUUACAAGGUUUAGUGGUUCUGGAGUACUACCAUUACUAUAACAAAAUUAGCAAGGCACUCCCCAGUAAACACAGACUUUUGUCUAAAAGCAGAGAUCAAACAGAUCCCAUGCAUCUGCAGUGCUAAUCUGGAAUGUGAUUUAUCUCCAAAGACUGACUUCAGAAGAGAGAAAAGUAAGAAAGGCUUGGUCACAUGAAUUAAAUUACUAUGUAGGUUUGCCAGAGUAAAGUGAAAAAACUCAAUUAUUGGCCAUCAAAACUAGGAAAAAAAAUUGGAAGUUAGUGUCAUGCUACAAAGACUAACAAUGUUCUCUAGGAAAAGCUGGAUUUAUUUAUGCUUUUAAAUAUUAGCUUAGUCAGAUUUUCAAGGAAGAGGUAUUAAGAUGUGUGUCUGAGCCAACAAUUUUCCUUUUUAUCAUCAUGAAAUCGUAACAUCACUGCCUCACUUUUAUAGGAGUUGAACUGCUGUCCCUACUGUUCUCUGUUUGAGCACUGGUGUUGAACCCUUGUUGUUUUCUUAAAGCAUUUUGAGAGUAUGCUAAUAGUAGAUCUAGAUAUAAAAGAGACACUAGCUAACAAAGAGAUCAGAUAAUGUUUUCUACCCAAAGCAAACAAAGCUAUUCAAAGUUAAAAAUUACACUCAAAAAAAAAGGACACUUCACUGCAGUAGUAAUUACAGACAGCAGCAGGUAAGUGACAAUGAAAUCAAGCUUGUGAUAUGUCCUUAUAAAUUAUAUAUUUAGGAAUGAUAUAUUUAUACACAGGAGAAAGUAGAGUCUUGUAUGGUGUGCUAUUAGCUGUUGAAGAUGAAAACUGGGGAAGUGAGACAUUGCUAAGUGUUUAUGAUAUCUCAGUACAAUGCAUUUGCAUUGGAAAGAAAGGGUUCAGCAAAGCUUUACAACUGAAAACAGUGAUCUUGUUGAACAUUAAGUACUUCAGGCCUGACGCUUGGACCCCCAGACAUCUGCUUUCAUUCAUGCAUUUACCCAUCUGCUUUUUUGUAGAAUGUGAACUUAUAUUGACAUGGAUAAUGAUAUCUUAAAAGAUCUUACUCAUCGAAUGUAAUACAGAAUUUUGCAGACUGGAGAGUAGUCUGCUUCAAAUAGAGUUAAAUAACAGAGAACAGAGCAUGCAUUAUGUUAGCAUUAUGUUAUAAAUAUAACCAGCCAGUACAAACUCUGCAAUUUUUUUUACUCCAAUGUUGUAAUUGUAAUUGAAUAGAAGCAAGAUCAUAGUUAUCACUGACUGAAACAAUUGUUAGAGCAUAUUUAGUUAAAGGCUUAACUAUUCAUCAAAAUUUUUUGUUGUUGUUGUUGUUGUUGUUUUUUUUUUUGAGGUAUAGUAACAAGCAGGUAACAUACACUUCAGAAGUGGACCUAUGACAAUCACAGUAGAACAAUCUUCAUUUGAAGACUAUUAAUUUCCAUUGAGCAAAGAAGAGGAAUGGCCUCUUCCUUAUGAUCAGGAUAGACAAUCUACAUUUACACUGUAACUAAUGGGCAACCGUUGACACAGUGCCACAGGAAAAAAAACAAACAAAAAACAAGAUGGGCAACAAAAUAUUUUUCCUAUAGUCAGAUCUAUUUUUAAAAAGCUACCAAAUACAUUGUUUAGCAAUUCCUAAUCAUCUUAGAGCAAUGCGCUUUGCAAACCUUUUACUUUCUAAAUGACCUCCAAAUGUCCAGGGCUCUAGUUCUGUCACAUCACACAUGAUAAAACAUGAACUAUUUGCUGGUUCAGUAUGGCUGACUAACCUGUACUAACAAAGUCCACACAAAGAUCCUCCCAUGGUUUCUUUUGGCUUUGGUGGUCAAUGUUUUGAAGUAGGAGGAAAAGGGAUUCUUUUAUGCCACCAUCUAAAGUCAACUUGUACAUAAAGCUAAAGCACUUUGAUUAGAAGAAAAAUACAUGCCAUGUAAGACAGGGAAGUCUCAUGAUACUUAUCCUGUAGUGCUGGAAGACAAACGUAACCUAGCUCCAGUAACAAAACAAUUGCCUUUGCAUUAGUUAUUUUAAUAACGCAUUUAUUUACAUAGGGCACAGGAGCAGGACGACAUGCAUGCUUGAUACUGAAGAAAAAUGUGUUUGUGCCCAUUAUUCUGGAGACUUUGUUCAAGUCUAUUUCUUAAAAAACUGCUGUGUUUCUUAGAUUCCUAUCAUCUUUUGCUCUGGAAUGAACAGGACAGCUUGUAGUAUAUGCCACCAGCUUUGGUUCUGCCUGAGUGUUUUCAAAAGGUGGAAACUCAGGUUAUCAAUUGUUUGAUGAAAGGAAGUACUGAUACGUAGGCCCGAAGAUAGUUAAAGCAGUGUCAAAAAUCUCUGCUUUGCACUGAUUUUCUAUGGUGUGUACCACUGUGGAUCUUACUGGAGCAAUACCAUUCUACAGUGGAAGGUAAUGCAGAAACAGGUGGUCUGCUGUGUCACACAGGAGAAUAUCUGCACCAAAUAGAAGAUAGUCCUAGUAAUUUUAUUUGCCUGAGUCUAAUUCUGCAAUUUGCCAUUUAAAUUGAAUAUACAUCAUUUAUAAGAUGUCAUAAGGAUGUCUCAGAGGUGAAUACUUGAGCUCAACAGGACAACAAGGUGACACAUCAAGUGCACCACAUUUAUAAUAAAAGUCAGAGUUCUUUCUUUAAUCCACCGGAAGUACUUUCCUCCCUGAUCUGGCACUUCUGUCAACAACUCACCCAGUGUAACCAUUCCAGAAAAUAACAUUUGUUUUCUACUUGCACAACAACAGUAGAAAGCUCUUCCCUAGCUGAGAGGAGGGCACUUUCUCCUCUUCAAGAUACUUUUAGAACAUUCAUUUCUGCAAACAGGAGAGGGAAGUACCUGUCCUACACCUUCAAGCUGAAACCAUUUUUUGAGGAACUUGAAUCUGUACAAAUUGAGACAGGCAAGCUCAGUGUUACUCAGCCACACAAAGAGCACUGCAUCUCACUUGCAACAGUGAAGAUCAAACACUAUGAAGUACCUUGCAUUGAUGAAAUGUCCUCAUGUUAUAAGGACUAUCGGAAAGCAAGAGAAAAGUCACUUUCUCAAAUGCAUCUGUAGAUAUCUAAUUGCAAGUUGGCAUUAAGUGAUGAUUUCCAAAGCACAGAAGGUGCUUAGUUGGUUCUGACUUUACAUUCUUCAGAUGAAUACUAUGAUAACCUUCAGGUGGUGACCGAUAUCUGUGACCAAGCCAUUUCUUGGCACUAGAACUGCUCUUUUACUUAGACAAACUUUGCAAGUGUUUAUCCACAUAUCCCAUCAUUCCAUUGAAGAGGUAUGAGGCCACAGGAUAUGCAGCCAGAUGUGUAGACAGAGUGCUGUUGGAGGUACCAGGAACAAUAGUCAGUGGAGAGUUUAUGGUGCCAAGCACCUUGAAGGACCAUAGAAGAUAAGAGCAUGAAACUCAAAUCAUUACUGAAGAAGUUAUCUGCUCAGAAAAGCACCUACUGAUCUUGUGGAUAUACAUUUGACUCACUUUUAGAGGCAAAACAUGGAAAUUUUUACAGUUACGUAAAGAACAUUGAUGUUAACUACAAAACCAUUAAAUAUUCUACAUGCAUUACGGUGCUAGAGGUCAGAUGUUGCUUUUUUUUUUUCCCCCCCUCAAGGUGGAGAAUUACCCUUGAAGUUGAAAUAAGUUGCCCCUUAUUUCUUCACAACAUCCUAUGAGGUAGAUAAGUACUGUAACAUCUUUUCAGAAUGGGAAACAGAGACAAAAAGAGGUAAAUUGACUUGCUUGAGGUUGUACAGCAAAUCGAGAAACAAAACUUCAAUCAUUAUCAUAGAUGCGUCCACUGCAACACAAUGGCUUACAUCCCAACUUCAUCUUCAAGGCUAAAUAAACGUAUUCAUGUACAAUGACAAGAUACACAUAGCCCAACACUAAUCUUCUGAUAGACUUCUGCUUCAGAAAUUACAUGAACAGGUGCUACAAUUUUGUCAUAGGACCUGGAUUCCAAAGUACACAAUCAGCACAAGCCCUAUCAUCUGGGCCCCUUAUUGUUUGCAAGGCCUUCAGUUAGAGCCUCUCUUGCCUUGUUUCCACUUCAAAAUUCUACAGUUAAUAAGGUGAAUUAAGGGCUAAUCCAGGAGCUUUCCCAGUAGGUGUGAAGUCCUAUGUUCCACCAGUCAUUUCCAAGCAGGCACUAACAAAGCACUUGUUGGCAUGUGAAACCACACAUACCUGGAGCCAAGGGAGAAAAGUUUCUUGGCCCUGCCAGUACCAUGGUGCAAGGAACAUACAGCCAACAUAAUUGCUCUAGACAUCAACAGAAUCAUGACUAGCAUGGCAUCACAUUAUCCUGACCCUCAAUAAUAGUGUCUAAAUGCAGUGAGAUCUGGGAAUGAAAACAAGGUGAUGAAAAACAUUUGCAUGUUGACUUGGAAAGAGUCCACCACAAGGUUGAGUCCAGACUAAAAUAUAACAAACUUUACACUAAAUAAGUGACAUCAGGAAUUUAUCUGUACAGCUGCUGACUUGUUGACAUAUGCAGUGGUUAAUGAAUUGUCAGCUCUUAACUGGGUCCAAUGACAAUGAUUUACAAGUACAUACCAGUGAUAAAAUAGUCCAAACUAUUUGAUACAACAGCUUACCCUCUCUUUAUUUAAUAAAGUUAGAUAAAUUCUAAAUCUUAACCUUGGUUGAAAAUGCAGUGGAUCGCUUGAUCAUACUUACGAUCCAAACAUACCAUCCUUAGGGUUGCAUAGUUAAACAGCACAUUUGUUUCCAGCAUGACUGUAAUGAGUUGGUUCAUACUUGAUCCGAUGUGUGAGCCUGAGAAGGUAGCACCUAACACUGGAUCUGAAAUGGUGACAAGGCUCUAUAUAUUGUUUCAGGCAAUAGGAAGUAGGAUUAAGGUGCCUUUCCUUGUAUAACAUAUGAAUUCUUCAUUGCUCACUGAUUAGUUGUGCUGUUUGCCCAUGUUGGGAAUGUGUCCAGCUCAAAUAUAGGUCUUCCCCAUGUGUUGAUUGCCAGUGUGACACAGAAGACUCCAAUGAUAUUCAUUACUAUUCCAGACCUAACCUACAAGGAUGAAAGUGCAAACCAACAACAACAACCAAACAUCAGCACAGCAAAUUAUAGCAAGGCAUAUUCAUACCAAAAAAAAAAAAAUAGAAACCUGGUCAAAUUAAAGCAUAGGAAUAGCCACGGUACCCGCUGCCCUACGUUCUUGCUCAGGUAGAAUACCAGGGAACACACUGUCCAAAGCCUUUGAAUGCUUUGCUAUUCAACAGGUCUAGGAUUUAAUAGACAUUCAAGAAGUUGCUCUUAUUAGUUAAAAAGUAGCUUCCAUGCCCUUCAAGUCUUCAGUUAGAAAACUGAUAAUGUUUGGAUGUUCAGCACAGAAUGUGGUACUGUGUGAUCCACAGGCAACCAGAGGACCAAAGUCCAGGGCAACUGGACUUGUUACCUUCUGCUUUCAGCUCUUUUAUCUAUCUUUGCAAAAGCCCCCGAAGACACUGGAAAGCACCAACUGCAUUUUAACCCUUCAGUGUUUAUGAGACUUAAAUUUGUCAGCUUUGAAUUUCAGUUGGACCAGACAGCAUGUCUGACAAAGUAUAUGAGAAAGGUAAUGUUGCUACAGAGAUGCAAAUCUUUACUGUAAUAAAGAGAAGGGUGUAAGGUAUUAGUUACAGCCCCUAAGAACUCUCAGGUACUUUGUAAAUACUAGGCCAAGAAAAUUAAACUGCUGUCAUAUUUCAGGGGAAGUACAAUGGAGAGCUUCAGAUGAAGACCAGGCAGUUAUCUUACCAUGUCCAAAACCCGGAUGUGGCCAUAGGAAAACACUAUUGCAUUUGGAGGUGUUGCAACAGGCAGCAUGAAGGCAAAGGAAGCACUCAGAGUACCCGGCAGCAUAACAUACAAAGGGUGAAUCUUGACAGAUGUGGCCUGCAACAAAGCAAAGACAAUUAUUAUGCUAGAAGUGUUCCAAAGAAAAAGAGAACAUUUCCCAGACCUCUGAGACACACAGGUUCAGUUAAUUCCCUGGUAUUACAUCACCAGAGUAAUUUUCAAGCAUUUUAUUAUGGAAUCUACAUGCGCUUAAAGAUAACUUUGGUUUCUCUCUCCCACAGUACUUAAAAGAAUGCUUGAUUCUUUCUUGCUCUAUGGUAUAAUUUGGAGUUCUGGUCAAAUUUACUCAGCAAUCUUUUCUUUGACCUUGGACUGCAUUUUUAGAGUGUUUGCUGGGUUAAUACAAGGAUGGAACUAUAAUUACAAAGCAUGGGGAGUAACACUUUUAGACACAAAGUUACAUAAACUUUGUGGGACUCAGAACUGCAGUGACUAGGAGCACAGCACCUUUAUUUGGACAAUUCUAUCCUGAUGAAAUGACUUAGAAUAAAGUGGCUGUACUUUCCAAGUUAAAUAACAAAAUAUCCUAUUUUUUUUUUUCCUUCAUGCUUGCAUUUCCAUUCUGGUUAGAAAAGGCAGCAAUUGCAACUGCUUUUAGAGCAAAACUUACCACAUUUUCCUCCCUAAGGUUUAAAACUGCUGUCUUAACACAGAAAAUUAUGCAUUUCUAAUCAUCAAGCCCACCACUUUCUGUAUUCUAGUGUAAAUGAUGAAGAUUAAGGAACCACCCAAAAGGAUGACUAGAAGAAAGCGGUGGGUAUUUUUUUGUUUGUUUGUUUUAGAUUUUCCAGUUCUGAGUUGCAGGCUCAAAUAUAAAAUGACCAUAAAUAACUGAUGUAGUGUAAUCUGUAUUAAAAAAAGUGACUCUCACUUCACUUUCUCCACAGCCAAGGGGCACUCCUUAUGGCAGGCUUGAAGUGGUUUCCUGAAUUAGCUUCUUCCCCCCAAGAAGCCACUAUCUCAGACUUCAGGUGUAUGGAUAGGACAAACUGGAUGAAGUCUGCAUUCCUACUGCCCAUCUGCUUACAAUGUUAUAAACACAGCAGUAAUAUUAGGGAUAUAAAUUUGACUCUGUCUACCAACACCAGCUAAAGUCACUGUCUAUUAGGGUAUACUGUCAGAUGGACUACUUCAUUACUGGAUUUCAGAGUAACAUUAGAGCAAAAUUCAAGAUAGUCAACAUGAUGUUGUUUUGCCACUGGAGACUGUCUGUUUACUCCUGACCCGUCAGUUGAUAGCAUAACAAGAUGUAAGUAAUCUUACCAUGGAUGAAAAGACAGGUAGGAAGAGGGUGGCUGUGGCAACAUUACUGGUGCAUUCGGUGAAGACAGCUAUAAUAAGGGAAAGCACUGUUGCAAUGGACCAGGGUGGAAUAGAUCCUAAUGGUGUCAUCUGAUGACCCAGCCAAGCUGAGAGUCCAGAGUUCUAGUAAGAAAAAAAGUAUUUUUUUUCAGUGAGGUUUAGACUCCCUGGCUCAGGAGCAGAAAACUUAUGUGUAACAUUCCUAACAAAUAAUGCUCAGUGGCUCCCAAAUUAUAUAAUUGCCCCUCGUGAAUGUACAAUAAUCUGUCACAAACACUAAAAGGAAUUCUUUGCCAACUGGACAUAACACUUAGCCACACUUCCCUGAUUUUCCUAGAACCCAAAUACUUGUUCGUGUUUUGGUUACUUUUUUUUUAAUAAGAAAUAAUAAAAGAAAUAAUUAUUGCUGAGACUACUGCAGAUGCUUAAUGAAUCGCUCACAAGGUUCCUAGAAUGCAUUUUUAAUGUUUCUGAAGAUAACGAUGCUAUGAGUAUGAGUAUUCUAUGUUAUGAAAAUACAGCAGUUGAUUCAAAGAGCUUACAGAGCCUUUGACUUGAUAGCUUGUAGUGUUCCAGAGCUUUAAUAAUGUACAUAUGGUGAACAUAGAUAAAUGUAGCAGACCAGAGCUUUAAUUUACCCCAUUGUUUAAAAACUGUCUAGGCACAAAACUUAGAUCUGAAUACAAACUUCUCCAAAGCAUGACACUCUUGAUAUCCAAGUCUAUGACUUAGACACAUCUUAGUAUAAUGAAGUAAAGAGCCUCAAGAUCCUUUCCUGUUUGUGGAAUACAGCUGCCUUUUCUAUGACUUUAUGAGCACAGGAUCAAACAAUGGACUUAUGGAGCACAGCAUAUUGCCUGGCAACAGCCAUUCACAAUAGAUUCAAGAAAUCUCACUGUAUGUGAUUUUUUGAAAUUAUCUACUCGCAAUCAUUUUCUUCCUG
rnacentral:lncRNA from 1 species